GGAGGGUUCGCAUAAUUGGUAUUGCAGCGGUCUUGAAAACCGCCGGGCGCAAGCCUGUGGGGGUUCGAGUCCCUCACCCUCCG
rnacentral:tRNA from 1 species